rnacentral:lncRNA from 1 species
UGCCAGCAAUUGAGGAGGUCAUCGAGAUUGAAGAUGACCUAGAACCCCUCGUUGCUAGGGCGAACCCUACCAGCGCACAGACUACUCGAGAGACAGGGAUGGCAACGAAGGCUAGCGAGGAUCGCACUGCGACCCAACAAGCCGCAUCAAGGAAGCCGUCUCCGACCAUCAAGCCAAUGCGCUUGUCAAGGGAGCCCUCUUUGAAGCUGAGGAGAUCCUCAAAGUAAGUACUGGUACUCCAUUUGAGUACUAAUUGUAGCUUGUUAUUGACUUGUAGUAUGUCUUCUAACAACUUGUCUUAGGUCCACGCUUGAAGCCAGUGACCGAUGGCAAUAGCCACUCGGCCCAGGACAUCGUCCCGGCUCCAACAAGUCUGCCGCCAGAGGAACAACUUGCUCCGGCAACAAAUCCAGGUGUCGUAUCACUUGUAGCUGCAUUGAUGCAGGACGUGAUUUCUUCAUUAACUGAUGUUGUAGUGCCAGCCCCCGAGCCACCAGUGCCUGAGGUUGCAGUAGUGACUACCUCUGGCGUCGUGGCUACACUUGUAGCCCCCGAGAUAGAGGUAGAGACCAAAGCUGCUGAAGUGCUGGAAGUGUUGCAGCCAUCCCAC